rnacentral:rRNA from 1 species
AACGUAGGAGGCGAGCGUUAUCCGGAUUUACUGGGCGUAAAGCGCACGCAGGCGGCUCAAUAAGUUGGCUGUGAAAGCUCCCGGCUUAACUGGGAGAGGUCGGUCAAGACUGUUGGGCUUGAGGUUGGGAGAGGGGUGUGGAAUUCCCGGUGUAGUGGUGGAAUGCGUAGAUAUCGGGAGGAACACCAGUGGCGAAGGCGGCACCCUGGCCCACACCUGACGCUGAGGUGCGAAAGCGUGGGUAGCAAACAGG